AUCCCUUUUCUUCUUUUUCCUCACGCAUGCCCCCCCUCUCUGUUUUCUAUUUUCCAUUGCCGUUCACGUGCCCUAGCAGCCGCCUCAAUUCCCGCUGUUCAGGCCAAGCCACACGCUGUCGUCAACUCCGUAAAGCCUCAUUCUCGCGUCGUCAACCAAGUCAACAGUGUCCAACCGCCCGAUCUGUUCGCCCAGCCCUCACGCCAACUCGCCGUCAAGUGGAGUCAUCCUACCGGUUUGCUCGUGCCAUAUCUACUAGCCGUUCCUGGUUGACGUCGCGGUGGAUUCUACUAGCCCUGAAGCCGACCGUUCGUGCCCCAUAUCGGGCACGCGUCUGUUCACUCCAGCAAGUCGUUCAUCCAAUCAGUGCCGGAUCAUUUCGUGCAUUCCAUCCACGCCCUCUGUUCACCGUUCGUUGCCACCGCCAUCGUUGGGUUUUACCAAAUCUGGUAGUUUUGGAUUGGAGUACUUCGAAGUGCGCAACGUGCUGUCCAGCGGAUUCGAGUUCGUUCGGCAAGUAGUUUAGUAAGCAUUGUGAUCCUUGUUGUUGGUUGUUAGGCACCUAUUGAUUAUUGGAUUACUUGGAGUCGAAAUCUUGUGAGUGUUUGUUGAUCAAGUUUCAUUUGGGUAUGUUAAUUAAUGAUCGUUGGAUUAAAUUUGUAUGUUUGGGUCUUGGUUCCAAAGACUAAAAUUUAGUAUUAUGUCUGUAUUUGGGCACUUAAUUCGGGAUUUAUUUUGUUGGAGAUCAUUAGCUUGGAUUAAUAUCUGAAUUUGACUUUGAGGUAAGUAAUCUUACUAUUGGAACUGCCCACGAGUCAAACACUAGAUAUAUGCUAGCAUAAUAGAUGAAUAUUAGAACAGAACGAUAGAGGUUGUGUUUCCUUCGAGAUACACCAGGGGUUGUGUUUCCUUCGGGAUACACCAGGGGGUUGUGUUUCCUUCGAGAUUCACCAGGGGUUGUGUUUCCUUCGGGAUUCACCAGAGGUAUUGG